rnacentral:rRNA from 1 species
GUUGUAUGGUUAAGUGACUAAGCGUACACGGUGGAUGCCUGGGCAGUCAGAGGCGAUGAAGGACGUACUAACUUGCGAUAAGCGCAGAUAAGGCAGUAAGAGCCGUUUGAGUCUGCGAUUUCCGAAUGGGGAAACCCAACUGCAUAAGCAGUUACUGUUAACUGAAUACAUAGGUUAACAGAGCAAACCGGGGGAACUGAAACAUCUAAGUACCCCGAGGAGAAGAAAUCAACCGAGAUUCCGGUAGUAGCGGCGAGCGAACCUGGAUUAGCCCUUAAGCACUCGGUGAAGUAGGUGAACAAGCUGGAAAGCUUGGCGAUACAGGGUGAUAGCCCCGUAACCGACGCUUCAUCGAGCGUGAAAUCGAGUAGGGCGGGACACGUGAUAUCCUGUCUGAAUAUGGGGGGACCAUCCUCCAAGGCUAAAUACUCCUGACUGACCGAUAGUGAACCAGUACCGUGAGGGAAAGGCGAAAAGAACCCCUGUGAGGGGAGUGAAAUAGAACCUGAAACCGUGUACGUACAAGCAGUAGGAGCACCUUCGUGGUGUGACUGCGUACCUUUUGUAUAAUGGGUCAGCGACUUAUAUUCAGUGGCAAGGUUAACCGUAUAGGGGAGCCGUAGCGAAAGCGAGUCUUAACUGGGCGCUCAGUCUCUGGAUAUAGACCCGAAACCGGGUGAUCUAGCCAUGGGCAGGUUGAAGGUUGAGUAACAUCAACUGGAGGACCGAACCGACUAAUGUUGAAAAAUUAGCGGAUGACUUGUGGCUAGGGGUGAAAGGCCAAUCAAACUCGGAGAUAGCUGGUUCUCCCCGAAAGCUAUUUAGGUAGCGCCUCGGACGAAUACUACUGGGGUAGAGCACUGUUAAGGCUAGGGGGUCAUCCCGACUUACCAACCCUUUGCAAACUCCGAAUACCAGUAAGUACUAUCCGGGAGACACACGGCGGGUGCUAACGUCCGUCGUGGAGAGGGAAACAACCCAGACCGCCAGCUAAGGUCCCAAAGUAUUGCUAAGUGGGAAACGAUGUGGGAAGGCUCAGACAGCUAGGAUGUUGGCUUAGAAGCAGCCAUCAUUUAAAGAAAGCGUAAUAGCUCACUAGUCGAGUCGGCCUGCGCGGAAGAUGUAACGGGGCUAAGCAAUACACCGAAGCUGCGGCAAUAUCUUUUAGAUAUUGGGUAGGGGAGCGUUCUGUAAGCCGUUGAAGGUGAAUCGUAAGGUUUGCUGGAGGUAUCAGAAGUGCGAAUGCUGACAUGAGUAACGACAAAGGGGGUGAAAAACCUCCUCGCCGGAAGACCAAGGGUUCCUGUCCAACGUUAAUCGGGCAGGGUGAGUCGACCCCUAAGGUGAGGCCGAAAGGCGUAAUCGAUGGGAAACGGGUUAAUAUUCCCGUACUUCUGACUAUUGCGAUGGGGGGACGGAGAAGGCUAGGUGGGCCAGGCGACGGUUGUCCUGGUUCAAGUGCGUAGGCUUGAGAGUUAGGUAAAUCCGGCUCUCUCUAAGGCUGAGACACGACGUCGAGCUGCUACGGCAGUGAAGUCAUUGAUGCCAUGCUUCCAGGAAAAGCCUCUAAGCUUCAGAUAGUCAGGAAUCGUACCCCAAACCGACACAGGUGGUCGGGUAGAGAAUACCAAGGCGCUUGAGAGAACUCGGGUGAAGGAACUAGGCAAAAUGGUACCGUAACUUCGGGAGAAGGUACGCUCUUGAUGGUGAAGUCCCUCGCGGAUGGAGCUGACGAGAGUCGCAGAUACCAGGUGGCUGCAACUGUUUAUUAAAAACACAGCACUGUGCAAAAUCGCAAGAUGACGUAUACGGUGUGACGCCUGCCCGGUGCCGGAAGGUUAAUUGAUGGGGUUAGCGCAAGCGAAGCUCUUGAUCGAAGCCCCGGUAAACGGCGGCCGUAACUAUAACGGUCCUAAGGUAGCGAAAUUCCUUGUCGGGUAAGUUCCGACCUGCACGAAUGGCGUAAUGAUGGCCACGCUGUCUCCACCCGAGACUCAGUGAAAUUGAAAUCGCUGUGAAGAUGCAGUGUACCCGCGGCUAGACGGAAAGACCCCGUGAACCUUUACUACAGCUUGGCACUGAACAUUGAACCUACAUGUGUAGGAUAGGUGGGAGGCUAUGAAGACGUGACGCCAGUUGCGUUGGAGCCGUCCUUGAAAUACCACCCUUGUAUGUUUGAUGUUCUAACUUAGACCCGUUAUCCGGGUUGAGGACAGUGCCUGGUGGGUAGUUUGACUGGGCGGUCUCCUCCCAAAGAGUAACGGAGGAGCACGAAGGUGGGCUAAUCACGGUUGGACAUCGUGAGGUUAGUGCAAUGGCAUAAGCCCGCUUAACUGCGAGAAUGACGGUUCGAGCAGGUGCGAAAGCAGGUCAUAGUGAUCCGGUGGUUCUGUAUGGAAGGGCCAUCGCUCAACGGAUAAAAGGUACUCCGGGGAUAACAGGCUGAUACCGCCCAAGAGUUCAUAUCGACGGCGGUGUUUGGCACCUCGAUGUCGGCUCAUCACAUCCUGGGGCUGAAGUCGGUCCCAAGGGUAUGGCUGUUCGCCAUUUAAAGUGGUACGCGAGCUGGGUUUAGAACGUCGUGAGACAGUUCGGUCCCUAUCUGCCGUGGGCGUUGGAAGAUUGAAGGGGGCUGCUCCUAGUACGAGAGGACCGGAGUGGACGAACCUCUGGUGUUCGGGUUGUGUCGCCAGACGCAUUGCCCGGUAGCUAAGUUCGGAAUUGAUAAGCGCUGAAAGCAUCUAAGCGCGAAGCGAGCCCUGAGAUGAGUCUUCCCUGAUACUUUAAGUAUCCUAAAGGGUUGUUCGAGACUAGAACGUUGAUAGGCAGGGUGUGUAAGCGUUGUGAGGCGUUGAGCUAACCUGUACUAAUUGCCCGUGAGGCUUAACCAUACAACACCCAAGGGGUUUUGUA